CCGGGGAAGCGCUGGCUGUGCGCUGCAGCAUCGCUUCCACUGAGCAGCGAGGAAGGGGCUCGGUCAAGUUCUGCUCAGCAGCAUUGCCGGCCCUGUCCCGGGAGCUGGGCGCUGGCGCGGGCUCGCACUACCUUCCCCUCGGCAUGGAUUGCAGCGCUGGGCGAGAAGGAACACGCCGCCAGGCGGUUCUGAGUUUCCAUUCAGAUGGGGGAGCAGCUUUCAAAGCCUGCGCUGUAAGGGAGCGGGACUAGCAGGCGAGUGUGACUUUUUCCUGUGAGAGACGCCACAAGUAAGAGCCACCAGGCCUCCCUUCCUUGGACAUUCAGAACGACCAG